AGUGAACGCUGGCGGCAGGCCUAACACAUGCAAGUCGAGCGGAAGAAGGGUGCGUGCUCCUGGAUUCAGGGGCGGAGGGGCGAGUAAGUCCGAGGAAUAUGGCUAGUAGCUUGUUAGAACGUCAGGAAACGGGCGCUAAUACGGCAUACGUCCUGAGGGAGUAAGGGGGAGAUCUUCGGACCUCACGCUAUCAGGUGAUCCUAGGUCGGAUUAGCUAGUUGGUGGGGUAAAGGCCUACCAAGGCGACGAUCCGUAGCUGGUCUGAGAGGAUGAUCAGUCACACUGGAACUGAGACACGGUCCAGACUCCUACGGGAGGCAGCAGUGGGGAAUAUUGGACAAUGGGCGCAAGCCUGAUCCAGCCAUGCCGCGUGUGUGAAGAAGGUCUUCGGAUUGUAAAGCCCUUUAGGUUGGGAAGAAGAGCAGUAGGUUAAUACCUUGCUGUUCUGACGUUACCCAAAGAAUAAGCACCGGCUAACUUCGUG
rnacentral:rRNA from 1 species